UAAGUUAAAAAAAAAAAAUAAAGCUGUGCAGAAAAGAAAAAGAAAAGGCUGAGAACAUAGAGAAAACGGAUUUGAGAACAGGUGAAGAAAGGAGAGAAGGGAUCUGGAGAACAAAAGAAAACAGAGGAGAAGAAAACAGAUCUGGCGAGAAAAAAAGGGCUGCCCUCUUCUUCUUAAUAUCAAUUUUACUCAUCUAGAGAGCGGCAAAAAACAAUCAACAAUUUUCAGCCAUGGAAUCCAAUACCAAACCACCAUUUCCAACACCAUAGACCUCCCAUUAAAAUCCCAUAGCAGUAGCUCACCUUCCUUCCUCCAUAACCAGCCAUCGAAACCCCCAAAAGCCACCUUCUUCCCCAACCAAACUCCAAAAAUGCAGAAGCUAACUAAUGUAUGAAACAUCCAUUAAAAUACAGCUUUGAAGCACCGCUGCUUCAGUAAAUUCCAGCCACCGAAAUCACCGAAACGCAGCUCCUCCAAAACAACUGCUAAAAGAUCCAAAAACAGUCCAGAAAGUCUCCGACGAGGUCUUGGUUCGAGGUUCCGGCGUGCGUUCAUAGGUCGCUGACCGUCUCAUAUUCGUUCGAGACUUUGUUCACAGUUGGUUUCCAAAUAUAAAGAAAGUUUGCUACAUAAAGCUGAAUGGUCCAGAUAGAUUUAACAUCUAUAGUGUCGGUCUCAUAUUCCUACGAAUGGGUUAUGCAAUCCAGCUACCAGGAUAAAGAAGCUUCACAAUAGAAGCAUCUGCUCCAUCUCCUUGAAAAGUUAUCGGAUCUUGAAACUCUAGGACAGUAGAGUUCCAUCUCCUUUUAACUAUUCUGGUGGAUUGAAUGAGCAAAGAGUGAAUGGAGCGUCAAAGGUACUACUUAGAAUUAUGGGAUUGUUCUUAAAAUUAUUCGUGUAUUAGAAUCUUUUAGGAACCUUUUAUGUUGUAGUAUGCUUUUGAAUUGUACAAUAUUAUAAAUUUAUUUUUAUACACAGUCAUAAGAAACCGUUGCAAUAGCCUCAA